rnacentral:lncRNA from 1 species
GAAGAGGAAGAGUCCUUCUGUGUGAAGCCUCUUCUACACCACUUAAUGUAUCAAAAAAUUAAUUCUCCACAUGAGAGAAGUGGAGCGCCAAGAGUUGGUGCCCCUUGGUUCUCUUGACAUCCCUUCCUUAUCUAUUUAUAUGGGGCAUCUCAUAUAGGAUAAGGAUUGAAUUUUGAUGAAAAAUUAAAGACCUUUGGCAUGUGAUA